AGUGAACGCUGGCGGUAGGCCUAACACAUGCAAGUCGAACGGCAGCACAGUAAGAGCUUGCUCUUACGGGUGGCGAGUGGCGGACGGGUGAGGAAUACAUCGGAAUCUACUUUUUCGUGGGGGAUAACGUAGGGAAACUUACGCUAAUACCGCAUACGACCUACGGGUGAAAGCAAGGGAUCUUCGGACCUUGCGCGAUUGAAUGAGCCGAUGUCGGAUUAGCUAGUUGGCGGGGUAAAGGCCCACCAAGGCGACGAUCCGUAGCUGGUCUGAGAGGAUGAUCAGACACACUGGAACUGAGACACGGUCCAGACUCCUACGGGAGGCAGCAGUGGGGAAUAUUGGACAAUGGGCGCAAGCCUGAUCCAGCCAUACCGCGUGGGUGAAGAAGGCCUUCGGGUUGUAAAGCCCUUUUGUUGGGAAAGAAAAGCAGCAGGUUAAUACCCCGCUGUUCUGACGGUACCCAAAGAAUAAGCACCGGCUAACUUCGUG
rnacentral:rRNA from 1 species